AGUUUUGUAGUUAAAAGAUAAUGUUAGAAUGCAAUUCUAAAGGUAUAAUUUAUAAUUAUUGAAACUU
rnacentral:tRNA from 1 species